AACACAUGCAAGUCGAACGAGAAAGGGUAGCAAUACCUGAGUAAAGUGGCGCACGGGUGAGUAACACGUGACUAACCUACCCUGGAGUGGGGAAUAACUGAGGGAAACCUUAGCUAAUACCGCAUAAUACCUACGGGUCAAAGGAGCAAUUCGCUUCAGGAGGGGGUCGCGGCCGAUUAGUUAGUUGGCGGGGUAAUGGCCCACCAAGACAGUGAUCGGUAUCCGGCCUGAGAGGGCGCACGGACACACUGGAACUGAAACACGGUCCAGACUCCUACGGGAGGCAGCAGUGGGGAAUUUUGCGCAAUGGGGGAAACCCUGACGCAGCAACGCCGCGUGGAGGAUGAAAUCCCUUGGGAUGUAAACUCCUUUCGAUCGGGACGAUUAUGACGGUACCGGAAGAAGAAGCCCCGGCUAACUUCGUGCCAGCAGCCGCGGUAAUACGAGGGGGGCAAGCGUUGUUCGGAAUUAUUGGGCGUAAAGGGCACGCAGGCGGCCUGACAAGUCUGGUGUGAAAGAUCCGGGCUCAACUCGGGAAACGCGCUGGAAACUGUCAAGCUAGAGUAUUGGAGGGGGAGUCGGAAUUCCUAGUGUAGGGGUGAAAUCUGUUGAUAUUAGGAAGAACACCGGUGGCGAAGGCGGACUCCUGGCUGGAUACUGACGCUGAGGUGCGAAAGCAUAGGGAGCAAACAGGAUUAGAUACCCUGGUAGUCUAUGCUGUAAACGAUGUGCACUUGGUGUUGGGCCGAUUAGGCUCAGUGCCGAAGCUAACGCGAUAAGUGCACCGCCUGGGGAGUAUGCCCGCAAGGGUGAAACUCAAAGGAAUUGACGGGGGCCCGCACAAGCGGUGGAUUAUGUGGUUUAAUUCGAUGAUACGCG
rnacentral:rRNA from 1 species